AUUGAACGCUGGCGGCAUGCCUUACACAUGCAAGUCGAACGGCAGCACGGGUGCUUGCACCUGGUGGCGAGUGGCGAACGGGUGAGUAAUACAUCGGAACAUGUCCUGUAGUGGGGGAUAGCCCGGCGAAAGCCGGAUUAAUACCGCAUACGAUCUACGGAUGAAAGCGGGGGACCUUCGGGCCUCGCGCUAUAGGGUUGGCCGAUAGCGGAUUGGCUAGUUGGUGGGGUAAAGGCCUACCAAGGCGACGAUCAGUAACUGGUCUGAGAGGACGACCAGCCACACUGGGACUGAGACACGGCCCAGACUCCUACGGGAGGCAGCAGUGGGGAAUUUUGGACAAUGGGCGAAAGCCUGAUCCAGCAAUGCCGCGUGUGUGAAGAAGGCCUUCGGGUUGUAAAGCACUUUUGUCCGGAAAGAAAUCCUUGGCUCUAAUACAGUCGGGGGAUGACGGUACCGGAAGAAUAAGCACCGGCUAACUACGUG
rnacentral:rRNA from 1 species